GCCGCUGUAGCUCAGUGGAUAGAGCAGGGGCCUCCUACGCCCUGUUGUCGGGGGUUCGAAUCCUCCCAGUGGCGC
rnacentral:tRNA from 1 species